CGUACACUCCUACGGGAGGCAGCAGUGGGGAAUUUUGGACAAUGGGCGAAAGCCUGAUCCAGCCAUGCCGCGUGCAGGAUGAAGGCCUUCGGGUUGUAAACUGCUUUUGUACGGAACGAAACGGCCUUUUCUAAUAAAGAGGGCUAAUGACGGUACCGUAAGAAUAAGCACCGGCUAACUACGUGCCAGCAGCCGCGGUAAUACGUAGGGUGCAAGCGUUAAUCGGAAUUACUGGGCGUAAAGCGUGCGCAGGCGGUUAUGUAAGACAGUUGUGAAAUCCCCGGGCUCAACCGGGGAACUGCAUCUGUGACUGCAUAGCUAGAGUACGGUAGAGGGGGAUGGAAUUCCGCGUGUAGCAGUGAAAUGCGUAGAUAUGCGGAGGAACACCGAUGGCGAAGGCAAUCCCCUGGACCUGUACUGACGCUCAUGCACGAAAGCGUGGGGAGCAAACAGGAUUAGAAACCCCGGUAGUCCCA
rnacentral:rRNA from 1 species